UAUUGUUAUUAGGUCUUUCAACCUUUCAGUUGAAAGACCUAUAGGGUUUGUUCUGAUUAUUAGGUCUUUCAACCUUUCUGUUGAAAGACCUAUUGUAUUUGUUCUGAUUAUUAUUAUUAGGUCUUUCCACUUUUCUGUGGAAAGACCUAUUGUUUUUCUUCUGAUUAUUUUUUUUUUCUUCCGCCUAAUUUUGUUCUUGCGAUAAACAUUUGUUUCGCAAUAUGUCGCUUAGAUAUUUUGUAUAUGAUAUCGAACAGUUUAUGCGCUUUUGAAAUUUACCCUGCGUAAAAGAAUACUUUUCUUUGUAGGAG
rnacentral:lncRNA from 1 species